GCCCCGGUAGAUCAGCUGAAAGAUCUCCCCUUCACUGUGAGUGAAUUCAGAGUAUCAGCGGGCGACGCGGGUUCGAAUCCCGCCUGGGGCG